CCUACGGGGGGCAGCAGUGGGGAAUAUUGCACAAUGGGCGCAAGCCUGAUGCAGCGACGCCGCGUGAGGGAUGACGGCCUUCGGGUUGUAAACCUCUUUCAGUAGGGAAGAAGCGAAAGUGACGGUACCUGCAGAAGAAGCGCCGGCUAACUACGUGCCAGCAGCCGCGGUAAUACGUAGGGCGCAAGCGUUAUCCGGAAUUAUUGGGCGUAAAGAGCUCGUAGGCGGUUUGUCGCGUCUGCCGUGAAAGUCCGGGGCUCAACUCCGGAUCUGCGGUGGGUACGGGCAGACUAGAGUGAUGUAGGGGAGACUGGAAUUCCUGGUGUAGCGGUGAAAUGCGCAGAUAUCAGGAGGAACACCGAUGGCGAAGGCAGGUCUCUGGGCAUUAACUGACGCUGAGGAGCGAAAGCAUGGGGAGCGAACAGGAUUAGAUACCCUUGUAGUC
rnacentral:rRNA from 1 species